rnacentral:rRNA from 1 species
GUGCCAGCCGCGGCGGUAAUACGUAGGGUGCAAGCGUUAAUCGGAAUUACUGGGCGUAAAGCGUGCGCAGGCGGUUCGGAAAGAAAGAUGUGAAAUCCCAGGGCUUAACCUUGGAACUGCAUUUUUAACUACCGGGCUAGAGUGUGUCAGAGGGGGUGGAAUUCCACGUGUAGCAGUGAAAUGCGUAGAUAUGUGGAGGAACACCGAUGGCGAAGGCAGCCCCCUGGGAUAACACUGACGCUCAUGCACGAAAGCGUGGGAGCAAACAGGAUUAGAUACCCUGGUAGUCCACGCCUAAACGAUGUCAACUAGCUGUUGGCUCUUCGGGGCUUGGUAGCGCAGCUAACGCGUGAAGUUGACCGCCUGGGAGUACGGUCGCAAGAUUAAAACUCAAAGGAAUUGACGGGACCCGCACAAGCGUGGAUGAUGUGGAUUAAUUCGAUGACAACGCGAAAAACCUACCUAACCCUUGACAUGUCUGGAAUCCCGAAGA